AGAGCAGAGGAUUUCUGUGCUUGGAAACAGGCUGUUCUAAAACUGGAUACUGAACUUAUUCUUGUGCAAAAGGUGCAAUAAGGACACCUUUCUUCGCUGAAGGAAGCUGAAGUGAGUGUUGAUGGAAAUACUGCUGAUAAAAAUGUGUAUUGAAAAUAGACAAGCGGAUGUUAAGUACAAAAAAGAAGAUACUUGGAUUUGAUGGCUGAGCAUGAAUGGCUGCAUACAGAUACAAAAGACAAGACAGAUAAGAGAAAACAAGAAGAAAAAACACUGUGAAAAAAUAACAACUUACAGUACACAAAGCAUCCUCUGCUUUCUUGAAGACAAUGUACCAUAUCAUGGUGGGGAUGAAAAAAAAAAAAAAAGCAGAUUUCUUUGGACAGCAAUCAUCCAUCAGCUUCUGAGAAAGAACGGUCCAACUAGACAAGAGAACAAAGAAAAGUGGUCCCUGGGAUAAGUGUGGACUCUAAGGGAUUGCUUUGCCUCAUCCUUCACAGCCCUCUCUGUGCACUUCAACAAGAUCUUCAAAAUAAGUCAGAACUAGGUUGGACUUAUUUUAAUGUUUCCCUGUCAGAAGCGAUUCCAGGAGUCCAAACUUUGAGCCUAAGCUUGCAGUCUUAGAAAGGGAAGAAGACUUCAUGGAUGUUGAAUCUUCAGCAGACAGACUAUCAUGACACCUCCUGGGCCAUCAUUGAUCGGGGUUGGGCUGCAUCUUUUGGACACAAAUGUUCCCUGCAGACUGCUGUGGAUCAUGGUCUGCCAACCUCAGGCCUUCUCUGAAUGUGGCACUCCAAUAGCUCAGCGAAUUCCUCUCCCACAAGGUGGGGACUAGCAACAUAUGACUGGCAACACGAUGACAGUGGCAAAGGGAAAGCAACGCUAAUAUUAGCUCUUCUACAGCAUUUAGUAUGAAACAAUAUUUGUAUCUUGCCAUGAGAAAAAGAAAAAACUCAGGGAACACUAAACUCAGAAAUAUGGUGUGAGAAAAAAUGCUUACCCAGAGCGCUUCAGAUCCAGAGCCAUUCAGUACAAAACAUGGAACAGACUUAGCCAAGUAUUCCCAUAAGAGCAUGACCCUGGUUUUACAGCUGCAAACUGAUUUUCAGCCUUCUGUUUAAACAUAUUCCCACAUCGGCCAUAGAGCACUAGCAGCGAUGACAAAAGUCGUGGAAUUCAUCAAAUACUGAGUAGCAUCUUGAGCACCUAUAAAACGAUAUUAUUUGAGCUACUUACUCAAGCAUUAUUAGCUUUUACCCAGUUCUCUGAAAGUCUUAGUGAGCAAGAACAACUUUUGUAAAUGUUUCCAAAUAUGUAAAUGCAUAAAUCUUAUUUAUUCCUUUGCACUUCGUUGCAUUCGGGGAUACUAUUUUAUGUUUGAGUUUUGAAUGCAUAACAAUUGACUCCUACUAAAUGGUGACGACAUUUCCUCUCAGAGGAAGUCCUGAGGGAAGGAAGGUCCCGCAUAAACAAACUUCCACUCAGUACAAUAGAGUGGCCCAUAAAUGUGAGCAUUUUUUCAGGGUAUGGGUGAGGCUGACACUCUCUUCCUGCUCAUGCAGACCAGGGCUUAUCGCAGUCCCGUUUCCCUGUAAUUUAAAUGUUUGCUUAGCUUCUAGUUCAUUUGUAUUUUUCCCCACAAAGUGCAGAUGUAUCCCAUUUUCCUGUUGCUGUGGAACAUGGCAACAAUUUCCAACAGUGUUACAUAAAUGACCAUCUGUGGUUUAAAAAAAAAAAAAAUGCUGAUGCACAAGAUUGCAGUGUGAGAAUUUUAGCCAGCUAGCAAAAAUUAUGCUAUUAAUACUUUUGACACCUCCUGACAAUAAAGGAAAAAUGUCAUGUUCCCUUCAUUUCAACAUAAUGUAAAUAUAUGAUAGAUGGCCACCAUUGGUGUGUGCAGGAUGAGACCUCCAUAGAAAAAUUGAAUGAAACCAAGCUGCUUAUGCCUAGUUUUCCUUAAGCUUUCCAUGAAGAGUAAAGGCAGACUAAAUUAAGGAAAGUUAUUUUACUGAUCAUGAGAGCAUACAAAUAAACAGGAAUAGCAAUACUUCAUCGACAUAUUUCUAGCAUCUUUGCAUUUGCUGACUCCCAGAAUCAGCAAUACUGGAAACACUGAAGUCCAUUGCACAGAUCUCUGCAAACUGGCAUGACAGUUGUUCUAGUAAACAAUGGCAGAAGUAGAUUGCUGCUGCUAAUGUGGAUGGAGAUUAGAGGAACUGAAAAUCUUCCCAAGUGACUUUCACAAACAUUUAGUACUGCUCCAAGUACUAGAAGGGCACCAAGGCUGUUUUUUGUCUGACCACCCUGACACUUGCUGUCUCAUCCUAUUCAAAAUACUACUAUAGCAGUAUUUCCUUUUCCCUACUUCUGACUCCUCAUGCUGUAGUCACUCAUCUCUCUUUCCUUUUCCCAGGAGUCACCUUGUCCUGGCAGAUAGUCCUGGCUACUUACUGGCCCCAUAUUUGUUUUUAUUUCCUCUCAUCCUCCUGACUUCUCUAAGUUAUCCCACUUCAUUUCAUAUCACUGCCGAAAACUUUUCAGUAGACCUUUAUGUGCUGUAGCUAAAAGGACUUGGACGUUACAUUUUGAAUGAGCGCUUUCCUGUUCUGAAGCCCAAGAGACACAGCAAUACAAAUGAAACCUUUCCACAUUGCCUGAUAAAGAGUAAAACAUUAUGUGUUUUACAAGGUAUUUUUCUUCCUUUUUUAGCAAAUAUUGAAUUAUUGUGUUUGAAAACUGCUGGGGGAAAAAAAAAUGUGCAGGCAGACAUACAUCGUGUAAUUUUAUUCCAAAUGGGUAAAGCCUAUGAAGCCUAUACAGCAGGAUCAGAUAGGUAUGAGCAAUUGUAAUAAUUUGUGCUAAUAGGCACAAACAGUCACAUAUAUACACACGGCUUCUCAUACUAAUGCCUGAAGCACACUCACAAAAUUUAUGUAUUCAUGCACCAACAAGUAAAUGUAUGUACAAAACAAAACUAUGAAUAUUGUGUGUAUCUGCAAGUGCUGUGACUUCGGCUUUCUCAAAUGUGCAUUUUGCACGUGUACUUAGCUUUCUGCUCUGACAAAAUACUUUGAAAGUAUAUGUGCUCAUUCAAAAUGUAAUUUUCAGGUCCUUUUAGCUGCAGCACAUGAAGAUCUACUGAAGAGUUUUCAGCAGUGAUAGAAAAUUAUUCCCUUGUUUCUUUCUACAGAUGAUUUCUGUGAACUGCAGUAUGUCAUUUUGUUCAUUCAUAAACAAAAGCAAUGGGCACAUGUGGAAAUUAAGAACAGUCUAUAAUAACAGCAAACACUACAAGAAGGAGGGAAAGUUUUUUUCUUUAUCUGUGAGAUUAAAGCCUUAUUUAGUU
ensembl:lncRNA